UCGGGAAUAUUGCGCAAUGGAGGAAACUCUGACGCAGUGACGCCGCGUGCAGGAAGAAGGUUUUCGGAUUGUAAACUGCUUUAGACAGGGAAGAAAAAAAUGACGGUACCUGUAGAAUAAGCUCCGGCUAACUACGUGCC
rnacentral:rRNA from 1 species